UGGCGGCACGCUUAACACAUGCAAGUCGAACGGAGAAUUUUGGUUACUGAGAAUUCUUAGUGGCGGACGGGUGAGUAACACGUGAGCAACCUGCCUCUGAGAGAGGGAUAGCUUCUGGAAACGGAUGGUAAUACCUCAUAACAUAACGAAGCCGCAUGACUUUGUUAUCAAAGAUUUAUCACUCAGAGAUGGGCUCGCGUCUGAUUAGAUAGUUGGUGAGGUAACGGCUCACCAAGUCGACGAUCAGUAGCCGGACUGAGAGGUUGAACGGCCACAUUGGGACUGAGACACGGCCCAGACUCCUACGGGAGGCAGCAGUGGGGAAUAUUGCACAAUGGGGGAAACCCUGAUGCAGCGAUGCCGCGUGGAGGAAGAAGGUUUUCGGAUUGUAAACUCCUGUCUUAAAGGACGAUAAUGACGGUACUUUAGGAGGAAGCUCCGGCUAACUACGUGCCAGCAGCUGC
rnacentral:rRNA from 1 species